AGAGUUUGAUCCUGGCUCAGGAUGAACGCUGGCGGCGCGCCUAACACAUGCAAGUCGAACGGCACCCCUCUCCGGAGGGAAGCGAGUGGCGAACGGCUGAGUAACACGUGGAGAACCUGCCCCCUCCCCCGGGAUAGCCGCCCGAAAGGACGGGUAAUACCGGAUACCCCCGGGCGCCGCAUGGCGCCCGGGCUAAAGCCCCGACGGGAGGGGAUGGCUCCGCGGCCCAUCAGGUAGACGGCGGGGUGACGGCCCACCGUGCCGACAACGGGUAGCCGGGUUGAGAGACCGACCGGCCAGAUUGGGACUGAGACACGGCCCAGACUCCUACGGGAGGCAGCAGUGGGGAAUCUUGCGCAAUGGGGGGAACCCUGACGCAGCGACGCCGCGUGCGGGACGGAGGCCUUCGGGUCGUAAACCGCUUUCAGCAGGGAAGAGUCAAGACUGUACCUGCAGAAGAAGCCCCGGCUAACUACGUGCCAGCAGCCGCGGUAAUACGUAGGGGGCGAGCGUUAUCCGGAUUCAUUGGGCGUAAAGCGCGCGUAGGCGGCCCGGCAGGCCGGGGGUCGAAGCGGGGGGCUCAACCCCCCGAAGCCCCCGGAACCUCCGCGGCUUGGGUCCGGUAGGGGAGGGUGGAACACCCGGUGUAGCGGUGGAAUGCGCAGAUAUCGGGUGGAACACCGGUGGCGAAGGCGGCCCUCUGGGCCGAGACCGACGCUGAGGCGCGAAAGCUGGGGGAGCGAACAGGAUUAGAUACCCUGGUAGUCCCAGCCGUAAACGAUGGACGCUAGGUG
rnacentral:rRNA from 1 species